UGGGGAAUAUUGCACAAUGGGCGCAAGCCUGAUGCAGCCAUGCCGCGUGUAUGAUGAAGGCCUUCGGGUUGUAAAGUWCUUUCAUCGGGGAGGAAGGGAUUAAAGUUAAUACCUUUGCUCAUUGACUUUACCCGCACAAGAAGCACCGGCUUACUCCAUGCCCGCAGCCGUAGUAAUAA
rnacentral:rRNA from 1 species